rnacentral:rRNA from 1 species
UACAGGGGGGCGCGAGCGUUGCUCGGAAUCACUGGGCGUAAAGCGUACGCAGGCGGGUCGAUAAGUCCGUUGUGAAAUCCCAGGGCUCAACCCUGGAACUGCAGUGGAGACUGUCGAUCUUGAGUACGGGAGAGGAGAGCGGAAUUCCUGGUGUAGAGGUGAAAUUCGUAGAUAUCAGGAGGAACACCGGUGGCGAAAGCGGCUCUCUGGCCCGGUACUGACGCUGAGGUGCGAAAGCGUGGGGAGCAAACAGG